GCCUCGAGCAUUCGCUGGGCCAGUGGGCGACUCAUUGAAGCCGAAGUGGCUGAUGAAAUGAUUGGGCUCAUCAAUGAGUUAAUUCAGGAAGCCAGCAAUCAACAUCAACCUUCUUUUCCUGGUUUCACUGUACCUCGAAGGGCAGGACAUGUGGGAAGAUCAGUGUGUCAAAUAACACAACAGCAACUGCAGAUGUUACUAUCAUUUAACUUUUCUGGCAAACAGAUUGCAAACAUAUUGGGUGUAUCAAGAAGCACAGUGAAGCGACGGUUAAGACAGUACAAUCUAUCAUAU